AAAGGCUGGUUCAUCCAUAGGUCACAGGAUUUGCUCAAGCAGCACAUGAAAGUCAUUUGUAAUUCCACAUUGAGACAGGCACGGACAAUUCUGAUCUGAUUACUCUUUCGCUAAUCUGAUUUUGAUAAACAACUGAUGAAAAGGGUGGUGUCUGGUCAUCAGGGGAGAGAUACUCAAGCGGAGAAAUCAGUUUCUCUUAUCUCACUGGGCAGGGAUUUAUUUCAAGGCUCCUGUUAAUCACCUACAAUGCCAAAAUCUGUGACUGCUGCCCUGGACUGCAAGAGCCUUCUGAGCAGAAUGACAGAAACCUAUUGGCUCAGUGACAUGUGAGUCCUCAGCAAAGCUUUCAGAAAAGGUCCCUGAACUUGGUGAAGUGCAGCCAUCUUCAACCGCCUUCGAAGCGUACCUGGGCAGCAUGAAGAGAAGAGAGAAAGAAGAACCAAAACCAGGGAAAAGGACGAAGGAGACAGUACCAUGAAAAUCUAUGGAUAUUUGCCUACAGAGUUUUGUACUGUAACACAAAAUAGAGUUUCUGGAUGAGAGAGAGGUAGAAGCUCAGAGUGAAUGCACAUGUGAGGUAUUCAAGAUAAGGACUAGGUUUUCACAUUGUGUUCCAGGGGAACCUGGGCUCUACUGAUGCACACUUGUUUUUAUUUUAAUUUUAUUGUUAUUAUUUUGG